rnacentral:lncRNA from 1 species
AAUAAACCAAUUUUUUAAAUGUCUUUCUUCUUCUCCAAUUAAUGUGCGACUAAGUAGUGCAGUAAUCGACUAUUGUUACCGGCGGGCGUCGUUGUCGUUUAGACGGCAGUUCGUCGGUCUCGGUGAUAUCUACUCUCGGCCUCUCAGAAACUUGUUCGUCCUCGAACUGGAGAAUAUCUUCUGGAAACAUCGGAUCUUUUGUUGUCUGUCCUUCUAUGGCGUUUGAGCAGGGCAACUUGGAAGAUGUCGUGAAUUCUAUCUCCUGAAGGCAGGUUCAAUCUGUACGCUACCUCGCCAAUUUUUUCCGUGAUCGUAUAUGGACCAAAAUACCUUCUUUAUAGCUUGAUUGAACGUCUCUUUGCCACUGAAUUUUGUCUGUAUUUUUAUAAUUUGACUAAUACUCUGUCUCCGACGUCAAACGUUUUAUCAUUCCUUCCAGAGUCUGCAAUUGACUUCAUCCUCUCCCUCGCCUUUCGCAGGUUGUUCCUUGCCAGUUUUAAUAUCUCUUCUCUUGUAUUUGUUGCCGCCGCAACUCCUUUGUCAUCCAGUAGGUUAUCUACGCAACGUAUCAUCAGGUGUGGAUGUCGACAAAAAGUUAAUUCGUACAGAGUUACUCCGGUCGAUGUAUGCUUGCAAGUGUUGUACCAGAGCUCCGCGAGAUGGAUAUAUUUGCUCCAGUCCUUUGGCCGAUCCAUUACGAAGCAUCGUAGGUACUGCUGCAGACACCUGCUGACAUCCUUCGACUGGCCGUCUGUUUGGUGGUGAUACGCGGAACUCCUUUGUAGUUUGAUCCCGUGUUGUUUAAAUAAUCAUUUCCAGAAUAAACUUAGGAAUAUCGGAUCCUGGUCAGAUAGCAACGUCUUGGGAAAUCCGUGGAGGCGAACUAUUUCUUUCGAGUAUGCGUCUGCGACUAAAGCAGCGGUCAUCGGUGAUAUCAAAGGAAUGAAGUGUCCUCCCUUGCUCAGUCUGUCUACCACGACCAAUAUCAUCGAUUUCCGUUAGAUGUCGGAAGAUUGGUGAUAAAAUCCAUGGUGAUCGAGUUCUUUCCAAACCACGAUUGGUCUCGACAAUGGUUGCAGAAGGCCGUUGUGUUUGGCAUCGUUGGGUUUCGCCGCCUGGCAAAUCGGGCACUCGUAAGAUUAACAAUGGUUAUAUAUCAUAACCUAGCUUGUUGAGUGAUUAAUAACAGAAAUUCGAGGAAAC